rnacentral:rRNA from 1 species
CCCCUAGAUGUUCUGGGCCGCACGUGCGCUACACUGAACAGUUCAACAAGUCUUAACCUUGGCCGAUAGGUCUGGGUAAUCUUUGAACGCUGUUCGUGAUUGGGAUAGACCUUUGCAAUUAUGGGUCUUCAACGAGGAAUUCCUAGUAAACGCAAGUCAUCAGCUUGCAUUGAUUACGUCCCUGCCCUUUGUACACACCGCCCGUCGCACCUACCGAUUGAAUGGUCCGGUGAAAUCUCGGGACGGCGGCUUGGUCGCUUGCGUCCGACUGCUGAAACUUGAUUAAACCAUAUCAUUUAGAGGAAGGUGAANUCGUAACA